AACGUAACACGUCACCUGCGGAGCGUGCGUGACGUGUUUGAACGUGGCGGCGCGAAGCUGUAAAAAUCGGAGAAUAAGCGACGUAUAUUCGGUGUUUCUCAUCAAUGCCUGCAUAUCAAAUGAGAACAAAACUUUCAACAUUACAUUAACAGUCGAUGCUUGUAGCGUUAUAUAUCUGCUCUUAUUAACUGAACAGACAUGACAGCCACGGCUUGUAAUAAAUGGAAGGGCUUGUUCACCAUUGGAGAAGAGUUUGAUGAUGAGGAUUUGCUCGAAGCUGAUUGGACGUGUCCAUCAGAGCACGCAUCUUCUACAGCUCCUUCUGUAGCACCAUCAUCUGAAUCCUCACAUGUGCAGCAGAGCUCUGUUAGCUCGUCAUCAGGCCCUG